CUGAUAUAAUUAUUAAAGGGCUGCAGUAUUUUGACUGUACAAAGGUAGCAUAAUCAAUAGUCUUUUAAUUGAUGACUUGUAUGAAAGAUUGAAUGAAAUAUAAACUGUCUCUAAUUUAUAAAAAGAAUUUAAUUUUUUAAUUAAAAAGUUAAAAUGAAUUUAAAAGACGAGAAGACCCUAUAGAGUUUUAUAUUUAAAUUUAUUAAUAUUAUUUUUUAGUUUAAUAAUUGAAAUAAAUUUAAUUAUUUUAUUGGGGUGAUAAGAAAAUAUAAUUAACUUUUUUAUUUAAGAUUCAUAGAUAAGUGAAUAAAUGAUCCAGAAUUUUUGAUUAAAAGAAAAAAUUACCUUAGGGAUAACAGCGUAAUUUUUUCUUUUAGUUCAUAUAAAAGAAAGAGUUUGCGACCUCGAUGUUGGAUUAAGAUAAAAUUUAUAUGCAAAAGUCUAAUAUUUUGAUC
rnacentral:rRNA from 1 species